rnacentral:rRNA from 1 species
UACGUAGGGGGCCAGCGUUGUCCGGAUUCAUUGGGCGUAAAGCGCGUGUAGGCGGCCAGGUAGGUCCGAUGUGAAAUCUGGAGGCUCAACCUCCAGCGGUCAUUGGAAAUCAUCUGGCUAGAGUCCGGAAGAGGAGAGUGGAAUUCCUGGUGUAGCGGUGAAAUGCGCAGAUAUCAGGAGGAACACCGGUGGCGAAGGCGGGUCUCUGGGCCACUACUGACGCUGAGAAGCGAAAGCAUGGGGAGCGAACAGG